rnacentral:lncRNA from 1 species
AUGAAUUUCCACGCUGGGUUCUCCAGAUGUUAUGAACUUUGUUCUUAUCAAAUAUUUUCAAUUGUUUAUACCAUUCAUGAUUCCCCUUUAUGCAAUGUAACUCACUUUUAUGGAUUCUUCCUUAUUUCCAUGAAAUCUAUCUAUCUGCCUAUAUGUAUUUGUACUCUUUGGGAUCCCCGGAAAAUAUGUAUUUUUCCCAGCAUGGAAAUUCAUAAAAGUGGAGUUUUAGCAGCAUGAUUUUACAAUUCAUGAAGUUAGCCCAACGAUUAGAAAUUCAUAUAACAGUGAUUCAUGAGGGUGUCCAGGUUCAUAGAAUAUGAAAAUUCACGGAUACAUUGGGAAAAGAGUUCAUCUGUGGUGGAAGGAAUUCAUAGAAAUAGCAUGGGGAAGAGGUACAUGUGAGUUGCAGUCUUUGGAAGUAUAGGAUUUCAUAAGUUCAGGGGUAGGUCUGGGGAAGAGUGUUCUUCUCAUUCAUAAAAUUAUGAAGGUGUGAAUGAAACGUGGAGGGCGCCCGUCCAGGCACCCUCCUGGCAGCUGUAGAGAGGGUGAAGGUCCUUGGAGAACUAUGUCUCCCCAGCGGGAGAGCGAUCCCCCAUCCACAGUUCACAGAAAAGGACCGGUGAUCUCUUACACCCAUCCCGCGGGUCGCGGGGAGAGGAAAGUCCGGGAUAAGGCUGGAAAAGAGCAGUCUGGCUUGGAAAGAGCAGUCAGUUCCGUUUGACAGUCAGCUGAUGAGGUGCCGAGAACUGGACCGAUUUUGGUUACGCUGGUGGUCCUUGGGUCAGGAGCCUUAGGAAGGGUUAGAACUAAAAGGAGAGCGUGCUAGGGGUAAUUUUGAUAAAGAUAUGAGCCAAUUUGUAUCGUCCGCCGUAUUAACCUAUGGCGGAGGAGCCUCAGCCAGAGUUUAAAGGACGGACGGGUUAGAGAGAGAGAGAGAGGGGGAGGAUUGCAUGUAAAAGAAGGAGUCAAGGAAAGACACAAAAUAACCAGAUAGAGAGUGCUACUGUUAUAAAAUGUAUGCUACUUUUAUUGGGGGGAUUUGUUACAUAGUUCAGGGAAGGGGAAAGUGAAGAAAAAAAAAAGAUCUUUUAAUAAUAGUCUGCUGCGGU